UAGUAGCCAUAGAGUCACUGCUGGAUAUAGAAGGGAGCAGAAAAUCGAUGCUUUUCGUCGUCGUCAAGUCUCUGUCGUUUAUCUUUCUGUCGUUCGCCAUUAUUUUCUUGCUAUCGUCGUCAGUAAAUACAAAAAUCAGCUAUUCUCAUUACGCAAUAGCGCGCGUCUGCUAAAUUACGCAAUUUCCGUGCAUGCAGAUAUCGAUAGUAAUAUUGGCCAGCGCGAGGCACUGCUAUUAAAUCGAUAGUUGAGUGUAUAAAUGUGUGAUUUUGGUAUUUCUGCAUAUAUCUUACGCCAAUUCUUAAACUAGGUUGGCAGUCCGAUUGAAGCGUAUUUGAAGAGAUUGGCAGCGCUACGACAAGAAAAAUCGUCGACAAAAGGAAAAACUUUUGCAGGAGCAUCGAAAUCCGUCUGCGCAGGACAGCUUUAAGUGAAGACUACGAUAAAUUGGACUCAGGUCUUUGCUCGCCACAAUGGGAAGCAUUGCUAAUGCAAAAAUCGUGGGCUAUAUCUGCCGCCUGUGCGUUCAGGCACACACCAUCGUGAUCCACUUGUACAGCGAUAGAGCUGCAGAGCUACUGCUGAUAGAGAAAAUUCAAUUCCAUUUGGACCUGGCCAUUUCACCGGGGGAUAUUCGGCCCAAAGUGAUUUGCGUAGCAUGCUUUAAUCGUAUCGAGGAAGCCCAUCGUCUCUGGCAGGCCGAGAAUCCUGCCCAAGAUACAGAAGAAGAUACAGAAGAAGAUACAGAAGAUACACAAAAGGACGGCGACGAUUCCCCCGAUGCGGGCCCGAUUGCCCCAAACGUGUCUAACGACUAGAGCGAUGACCAUCUGAUCGAUCUGUGCUUGCAACUACAUUUACAAGACUACAUUUAACUUCACACUGAACCUGAAUUCGAUCUCAAUCUACUCAAUAUACCAAUGCUCCAGCGGAUCACUCUAAACACGUACCAGCCUGAAGCUCAACAGCCAAUGUGAUUGUUUAUGAAGCCAAUGAAUUUCUAAAGCCUUUAAAUAAUAAAAAGUGCUAAAAAAUACCUAU